UAGUAGGAAGUAAAGUUCUCUGAUGGAACUAAAAUAGAUGGUACUUUUAGUACCUCUAAUUAGAUGGUAAAUGUCCCAGUUGUAGGCAUAUGGACAUCAUGUGUGUGUUCCGCCGCCCGUUCCUUCCGGCUGGCCCUUUUCCUUGCCGACCUGUAGCGCCGUCUCCGCCUCUUGGGCACUCAUCUCCUCCCCCAUUCCUUCUGGCCGCCCCCUUCCUUGCCGACCUGUAGCGCCAUCUCCGCCUCUUGGGCACCCACCUCGGGCACGGAGGAGGCGCCGCCUGUGAGUGAGAGCACCUCGCGGCCGCGGGCUGCACGCACCGACCAUGGAGGAUGCCCCGUCCCUGUCGCCAGUAGCAUCCCUCGCUGCCUGGAUUCAUCGCGGUGAUGCCGGUCUCAUCUCCGUGUCUCCAGCAACGGCGUCGUUGUUUCCUGCUGGCCGGCAGCGUCCUUGUGGUCGCGUCUACAUCCUCCUCGUUCACCGUCACAUCCUUGUUGUCACCGCCAACAUCACUGGUCUCCGGACACAAGACCUCCUUCACUGCUUCAUCCUUGCUUAUGCUAGAUACUCCUGAGGGUAAGGUAUGCAUUUCUGCACAGUUAUUUCUGACCAAAUUGUGUAGCAGUCGGUAAUGUUACAUGCAUUUUUUGUGCUGCAAAGUACAUGGUGAGAAGCGUAGUUGAAUUAGUAGAUAGAACAUGGAACCCAACCAACUAUGUUAAUGUAAAGUUUUUGAUGCAAAUGGAACAACUUUUUCCAUCAGGAACAAGGCCCAUCAGCAUUUGUUUUGUGUUACAUGUACUAGUUGAAUUAGUGGAUUGAACCAAUUAUGUCCAGGUAACUAUUUUUUGCAGCAGAUGUAACCAAUGUUUCAUUAGGUGUAAGGCCGAUCAGCAUUUGUUUUUGUGUUACAUGCAGUAGUUAAAUUAGUGGAUGGACAAAUUAUGUCCAUGUAACCUCUUUUUGCAGCAGAUGGAACCAAUUUUUCAUUAGUUGUAAGGCCGAUCAGCAUUUGUUUUACGUUACAUGCAGUAGGCUAGCACAUACAGUGAUAGCAGCCACAACACAUUGGUAAUUGAGUAGUAAACAGUGCUCUGGAACACACACAUAUUGGUUACUUAUAUCACCCUGUACCUGUCAUUUCCUACUUCCAGUCACUAGGAUUUGCCUUGUGUCUUGGUAAGGGAAGUUCAAGAAGUAAUUCUGGAGCCUAGAUGGUUCAUCAAUGCUUUCCGGUUGAUAGCAACAUGCAGCGAUCUUACUUGUCAGGACUCUUCUGGGUGCAGUGAGAAACUUGGUUGAAGAUUAUGAUCACCAGAAAACAAAGCUUGGCUCACCUCACGCGGUGGAGGAGACACUGGAGGUUAUCUCGGUUGCAGCCCAGGAUGUGACCUUGUCAGUUAGGAGAAUGAGUAGCUCCAUGGCAAACUAGGAGCAGAAACGGUUGAAUUCAGCGUCUUGAAAUCUGGAGAAGUCCCAGGUUUCUGGCAAGGUCGGCAAGACGGCAGCUAGCUCACGGCAAGACGGCGGGGUUCUGGCAAUGUUGGCAAGACAUCGGAGAACUCAUAGCAAGAUGACGGUGAACUCACGGCAAGACGGUGGGGUUCCAGCAAGGUCGGCAAAACUGGCGACGUACUCCAGUGAGACCGGCAGUAUUCCGGCGAGUUACAUUGCCAUGUUUUAACCCGUAAAGAAUAAUCUACCUAGUUGUUCUUCACCCAAGUCGUGAUACAUUGGCAUGUAUUUUUUUCGAUCGCUCUGGCUAAAGCACGGACAUGUAACUACUCUAGCAUCCUACUGGAUGUAACUCUAACUCCUGUUUGGAUGUAACAAAGUAGUUGCAUCAGAUCAGGCUAGAACUUUUUUGCAACAAUGUAAUAGGUGGUACAGGAGCUCCACCGAUGUAUUCUUUCUGGAAACAACAAUUUUUUUGAUG